GUGGGGAAUCUUCCGCAAUGGACGAAAGUCUGACGGAGCAACGCCGCGUGAGUGAUGAAGGUCUUCGGAUUGUAAAGCUCUGUUAAUCGGGACGAAAGAGCCUAGUGUGAAUAAUGCUAGGAAGUGACGGUACCGGAAUAGAAAGCCACGGCUAACUACGUGCCAGCAGCCGCGGUAAUACGUAGGUGGCAAGCGUUGUCCGGAAUUAUUGGGCGUAAAGCGCGCGCAGGCGGAUCUGCCAGUCUGUCUUAAAAGUUCGGGGCUUAACCCCGUGAUGGGAUGGAAACUACAGAUCUAGAGUAUCGGAGAGGAAAGUGGAAUUCCUAGUGUAGCGGUGAAAUGCGUAGAUAUUAGGAAGAACACCAGUGGCGAAGGCGAGUCUCUGGACAAGACCUGACGCUGAGGCACGAAGGCCAGGGGAUCAAACGGGAUUAGAAACCCCUGUAGUCC
rnacentral:rRNA from 1 species